UAGGGAAUCUUCGGCAAUGGACGAAAGUCUGACCGAGCAACGCCGCGUGAGUGAAGAAGGUUUUCGGAUCGUAAAACUCUGUUGUUAGAGAAGAACAAGGACGUUAGUAACUGAACGUCCCCUGACGGUAUCUAACCAGAAAGCCACGGCUAACUACGUGCCAGCAGCCGCGGUAAUACGUAGGUGGCAAGCGUUGUCCGGAUUUAUUGGGCGUAAAGCGAGCGCAGGCGGUUUCUUAAGUCUGAUGUGAAAGCCCCCGGCUCAACCGGGGAGGGUCAUUGGAAACUGGGAGACUUGAGUGCAGAAGAGGAGAGUGGAAUUCCAUGUGUAGCGGUGAAAUGCGUAGAUAUAUGGAGGAACACCAGUGGCGAAGGCGGCUCUCUGGUCUGUAACUAACGCUGAGGCUCGAAAGCGUGGGGAGCAAACA
rnacentral:rRNA from 1 species